UAUAACGAUACAUUUAGCUGUCAAAAGCAAGAGCAAAGAAACUCCUUGUGUCAUACAUAAGAAAGAUAACCACAAAAGUAAUGCGUAUUCAUUGAGAAGUCUUACUGUGCCUGUGUCUGCUGACAAUAAUAUAGCGAUACAAUUAGCUGUCAAAAACAAAAACAAUGAAACUCCUUGUGUUAUAAAUAAAAAGAUAACCACAAAAGUAAUGCAUAUUCAUUGAGAAGUCUUAUUGUACCUGCGUCUGCUGACUAUAAUAUAGCGAUACAAUUAGCUGUCAAAAGCAAAAGCAAUGAAACUCCAAGUGGUAUACAUGAAACCGAUAAGCACAAAAGUAAUGCGAAUUCAUUGAGAAGUCUUCCUGUGGCU